rnacentral:rRNA from 1 species
UUAAGCGACUAAGCGUACACGGUGGAUGCCCUGGCAGUCAGAGGCGAUGAAGGACGUGCUAAUCUGCGAAAAGCGUCGGUAAGGUGAUAUGAACCGUUAUAACCGGCGAUGUCCGAAUGGGGAAACCCAGUGCAAUUCGUUGCACUAUCGUUAACUGAAUACAUAGGUUAACGAGGCGAACCGGGGGAACUGAAACAUCUAAGUACCCCGAGGAAAAGAAAUCAACCGAGAUUCCCCCAGUAGCGGCGAGCGAACGGGGAGCAGCCCAGAGUCUGAAUCAGCUUGUGUGUUAGUGGAACGGUCUGGAAAGUCCGACGGUACAGGGUGAUAGUCCCGUACACCAAAAUGCACAGGUUGUGAACUCGAAGAGUAGGGCGGGACACGUGGUAUCCUGUCUGAAUAUGGGGGGACCAUCCUCCAAGGCUAAAUACUCCUGACUGACCGAUAGUGAACCAGUACCGUGAGGGAAAGGCGAAAAGAACCCCGGCGAGGGGAGUGAAAAAGAACCUGAAACCGUGUACGUACAAGCAGUGGGAGCACCUUCGGGUGUGACUGCGUACCUUUUGUAUAAUGGGUCAGCGACUUAUAUUCUGUAGCAAGGUUAACCGUAUAGGGGAGCCGCAGGGAAACCGAGUCUUAACUGGGCGUUAAGUUGCAGGGUAUAGACCCGAAACCCGGUGAUCUAGCCAUGGGCAGGUUGAAGGUUGGGUAACACUAACUGGAGGACCGAACCGACUAAUGUUGAAAAAUUAGCGGAUGACUUGUGGCUGGGGGUGAAAGGCCAAUCAAACCGGGAGAUAGCUGGUUCUCCCCGAAAGCUAUUUAGGUAGCGCCUCGUGAACUCAUCUUCGGGGGUAGAGCACUGUUUCGGCUAGGGGGUCAUCCCGACUUACCAACCCGAUGCAAACUACGAAUACCGAAGAAUGUUAUCACGGGAGACACACGGCGGGUGCUAACGUCCGUCGUGAAGAGGGAAACAACCCAGACCGCCAGCUAAGGUCCCAAAGUCAUGGUUAAGUGGGAAACGAUGUGGGAAGGCACAGACAGCCAGGAUGUUGGCUUAGAAGCAGCCAUCAUUUAAAGAAAGCGUAAUAGCUCACUGGUCGAGUCGGCCUGCGCGGAAGAUGUAACGGGGCUAAACCAUGCACCGAAGCUGCGGCAGCGACACUAUGUGUUGUUGGGUAGGGGAGCGUUCUGUAAGCCUGCGAAGGUGUGCUGUGAGGCAUGCUGGAGGUAUCAGAAGUGCGAAUGCUGACAUAAGUAACGAUAAAGCGGGUGAAAAGCCCGCUCGCCGGAAGACCAAGGGUUCCUGUCCAACGUUAAUCGGGGCAGGGUGAGUCGACCCCUAAGGCGAGGCCGAAAGGCGUAGUCGAUGGGAAACAGGUUAAUAUUCCUGUACUUGGUGUUACUGCGAAGGGGGGACGGAGAAGGCUAUGUUAGCCGGGCGACGGUUGUCCCGGUUUAAGCAUGUAGGCUGAUUGUCCAGGCAAAUCCGGAUAAUCAAGGCUGAGGUGUGAUGACGAGGCACUACGGUGCUGAAGUAACAAAUGCCCUGCUUCCAGGAAAAGCCUCUAAGCAUCAGGUAACAUUAAAUCGUACCCCAAACCGACACAGGUGGUCAGGUAGAGAAUACCAAGGCGCUUGAGAGAACUCGGGUGAAGGAACUAGGCAAAAUGGUGCCGUAACUUCGGGAGAAGGCACGCUGGUGUGUAGGUGAAGUCCCUGCGGAUGGAGCUGAGACCAGUCGAAGAUACCAGCUGGCUGCAACUGUUUAUUAAAAACACAGCACUGUGCAAACACGAAAGUGGACGUAUACGGUGUGACGCCUGCCCGGUGCCGGAAGGUUAAUUGAUGGGGUUAUCCGUAAGGAGAAGCUCUUGAUCGAAGCCCCGGUAAACGGCGGCCGUAACUAUAACGGUCCUAAGGUAGCGAAAUUCCUUGUCGGGUAAGUUCCGACCUGCACGAAUGGCGUAAUGAUGGCCAGGCUGUCUCCACCCGAGACUCAGUGAAAUUGAACUCGCUGUGAAGAUGCAGUGUACCCGCGGCAAGACGGAAAGACCCCGUGAACCUUUACUAUAGCUUGACACUGAACAUUGAGCCUUGAUGUGUAGGAUAGGUGGGAGGCUUUGAAGCGUGGACGCCAGUCUGCGUGGAGCCAACCUUGAAAUACCACCCUUUAAUGUUUGAUGUUCUAACGUUGGCCCCUGACCGGGGUUGCGGACAGUGUCUGGUGGGUAGUUUGACUGGGGCGGUCUCCUCCCAAAGCGUAACGGAGGAGCACGAAGGUUAGCUAAUCCUGGUCGGACAUCAGGAGGUUAGUGCAAUGGCAUAAGCUAGCUUGACUGCGAGCGUGACGGCGCGAGCAGGUGCGAAAGCAGGUCAUAGUGAUCCGGUGGUUCUGAAUGGAAGGGCCAUCGCUCAACGGAUAAAAGGUACUCCGGGGAUAACAGGCUGAUACCGCCCAAGAGUUCAUAUCGACGGCGGUGUUUGGCACCUCGAUGUCGGCUCAUCACAUCCUGGGGCUGAAGUAGGUCCCAAGGGUAUGGCUGUUCGCCAUUUAAAGUGGUACGCGAGCUGGGUUUAGAACGUCGUGAGACAGUUCGGUCCCUAUCUGUCGUGGGCGCUGGAGAAUUGAGGGGGGGCUGCUCCUAGUACGAGAGGACCGGAGUGGACGCAUCACUGGUGUUCGGGUUGUCAUGCCAAUGGCACUGCCCGGUAGCUAAAUGCGGAAGAGAUAAGUGCUGAAAGCAUCUAAGCACGAAACUUGCCCCGAGAUGAGUUCUCCCUGAGACUUUAAGUCUCCUGAAGGAACGUUGAAGACGACGACGUUGAUAGGCCGGGUGUGUAAGCGCAGCGAUGCGUUGAGCUAACCGGUACUAAUGAACCGUGAGGCUUAACCUU